UCGGUUUCACUUUGGUGUCACGGGUUUCACUUUCGGGCAGAGCCAGAGCGGCGGAAGGAGGGAUGGAGAGAGCACGGGGCGGCGGUCAGCUGACGGAUGUCUGGACAGUUUUCCACUCCGGCUGCUGUAAAUCAUGCAGCUGUGAAUGAAGACAGGUGUUAAGGUGACCAAAACAAGUGUCGACUAGAGUGUGUCCACCCACAGUUGCAUGGGACCGGGCACCCGAGAUGUGACGGGCGUGAGAUGCGUUGUGAGGGCAAAAUACGUACUGAUGCCAAAGACUUCGUGGGGAUGUAGAAGCCACUCUGCUAAUUCUUCAUAUUGAUUACAAGACCAAGCACAAAAAACAGAGGAGAAAACACAAAACCAACGAAGGGAACACCCAACGCGCAAGACCCCGGAACUGAUCUUCCGUGAUUGUUUUCGGACCACGAGGUCAGAAAACGGGGUGUCUUCGUGCCGCUCCCGUACCGGGCGGUGCCAGGAUUCCUCAGGAGCUGAGGCCGCGGCCACCACCUUCCGCCCGCACCCCCGUGUCAGGAGACCUCAGAACCAGCGGCUCUCUGUGCUCGAGGAGCCUGCCCCCUUGCCACAGGAACUGUCAGCAGGUGAGACUCUGGGGGCCUAGGAAGCGGCAGGACCCUGGAAAGCCGGUGAAGGAGCCGCAGGAGCAAGCACAGCAGGGAGGGCUCCUUCUGCGAAGCUGCAGGCUGUGCGCCACCUCCGGGGCUCCGGGGACGGGGAGCCUUGGUCACGGCCCCCCGCCCGAUGGGGAGCUAGGACCACAGCCCCCUUGCCAUUUCCCUCAGCACCUGCGGCUGACCUGCUGGCCGGCCCUAGUGACACGCCCUGGGCAGUUGCUCCCGAGU